GUCUAGGGCCAUAUCACCGUGAAAGCACCUGACCUCAUCUGAUCUCGGAAGCUAAGCAGGGUCGGGCCUGGUUCAUACUUGGAUGGGAGACCUUGACU
ensembl:rRNA 5S_rRNA 5S ribosomal RNA